rnacentral:lncRNA from 1 species
UUUUUUUUUUUUUUGGCUAGACACAACAUUAUCUUUUCAUAGCAGGAAUGGUGCAGUAGAUUUGACAUCAUUGGUUAAUUAAAAAAACAAUGCUAAAUAGACUCUUUUAAAUUGGAAUUCUCCAUCCUAUAAAAAAAAUUGGGAUUCUUUAUAAACUCUUUAUUAGUUUACAGCUUAAUGUCAAUUAUCAUGCCAAGUUUAUAAAAAAUUGUAAAUAAAAUAUGAGAUGACAUAUAAUUUAUAAAUAAUCUCAUUUUGAAAAAAUCUUAUUAACUUUUCAUAAGGAGAUGUUACCUAAAAGUAAUAAAAUUUUAUAUUUAAAAUUUCAAAGCGUUUGGAAUCCAAUUCACUAGUCUUCCUAGUUAAGGAUUGAGAUUGAUAGUUUUAAUGUUUUACAUUAGAUUUUUGUUGACGACGAGUUUGAUUUUUAAUAUGUGCCAUAUCACUUGUAUUAAAAAGAGUAGUUAUCUUCACAUAUUCAUUUUUACUUUGUACAUUUUUGUUAGUUUUUAUCUAUUAAUAUUAUUUAAUUUAUUUGAUCCAACAAUUGAAAAUUAAGAGGAGUGUGUGAGAAGUAAAAAUGGGUAUGUGGAUUGCACCACACAGAAAAAAUAUAUUGACAUUGCAUGACAAGUGCCCUUUUUGGAAAGCUAAAGCUAAAAUUAGACUUGGUAAUCGUGUCAUAUUUGUUGUGUUCGUGUCGUUUUCGUGACAUAUACGAUAUCUUCAUGGAACGUGUUGUGUCAAAUCCGUUAAAAUGAACUGAUAAUAUGAUAUGAACCAAACUCAACCGGUUAAAAUUAACGAGUAAUAUCACCCUAUCCGUUCCCAUUAAGAAAAUAUAUUUGACUUCCAUUAAUAAUCGAAUGAAAAACGUCAUACUAAAUUAGUAUCUACACAACACAUUGACAUAUUGUUUAAUUAAAAAAAAUGUCAAUGAGACUUUUAAAGUGAGACUCUUUGUAGAUUAUUUGUCAUCUCAAGACGUCAAUUUAUGUGUUAAUAUUAUAAAAUAUAAGAUAGCAGACUGUUCGUAGACUCCCACUUUUGAUAUAUUCUCCUUAGCUUUUGACAAGGAGAUGUUACCUAAGAGUGAAAGUAAGAAAAUUUUAUAUUUAAAAUUUCAAAGCGUUGGAAUCCCACUCACAAAUUUCUUCCUAGUUAAGGAUUGAGAUUGAUACUUUUAGGGGGGAUGUUUUAAGUUAGAUUUUUGUUAACCUCGAGUUUGAUUGUUUAUUAUGUGGCAUAGCAAUCGUAUUAAAAAAAAGUAAGGCUAUUUAAACACUUCUUUUUAUGUCUUAUACACUAUUAUUAAUUUUUAUUCGUUGAUUUUUUCAAUUCAUUUAAUUCAAGUACUAAAAAUUAAGAAAAUAUAUAUUGGCAUUGAAUGACUAGUGCCCAUUUUGAAAAGCUAUAGCUAAAGUGGUGGCCCAUAACAUGCACCUCUAGACUCAUGGUUUUUUUUUCUUUAAAAUGGUGGCCCAUAACAUGCACAAAAAUGUUUGAUCUUUAAUUUUAUGUUUUUUCCCUUUCUGAAAUGUAUAUUCUUGUACCGUUGAUCUGUUUGGACUGAUUCAGUCUGAGUACUCUGCUUGAUUAUGAUUUAAUUUAGUCCAAGAAAAUUACACAUAUUAUUAUAGCGUUUACACAAAACGCUAUGAUGAUGAUGUACUCGUGCUAUUAAAGUUGUUCUUGCCAUUACUCUAGCAGAAAAUAACCCAAAAAAUAGAAACAAGGGAAAUUAAAAGAAAAACCCAAAACCAAAGAACAAAGUCCAAAGUUUAAAUUUAAUAACAAAUGCAUCCUCGAUCCCCGACGAUGGUAAGGGAUGGAUGCUUAAUUAUAGCAAAGUCGCCAUGAAAGAAACUGUUGAAUAAGUGGCCAAGUGGCCAAAUGGACAACAAAACAAAACAACUUUCGGCUAAUAAACAAACCAAAAGGAAAAAAAAAAAAAGGUGAAAGACAAAAUGAUGAGGGAACAUAUGAUUAUGUUUGUUGAAAAGAAAAAUUGAAGGUCAUGAUGAUGUUUUUGAAUUUUUUAUUUGGUGCUUUUGUAUUGAUGAAGUGAGCAUACGGAAGUGAGAAAUAGAGAGGAAGUGUGCAUCAUUUUUUCUGUUUUAGUAGCCCAUCUUUGAGAGAGCAAAGAGAGCUGCAGAGAGCAGAAAACAGAGAGUAGAAAAGAAGAAGAAGGGCUCUUCUCUUUGGUUAGUAAUCACCCACCAAGGUAGUUGUUGUUAUAAUAGCUUUGAGCUUUGUAUAGAGAAGAAAUUAAUCAUUAUAUUUCUCUUUAUUUGUUUCUUUGGUGUGUGAAAACUAUUGGUUAUAUUGGGUUAUUUGGGUUGUGAGAUUGCCAACACUUUGUAAACUCCCAUUUGGUUGAUAGUGGAUUAUUGGGUGAGCUCCUACUGCUCCGAGGACGUACUCCAGUUACACUGAUUGUUGAGGAACCUCGUUAAAUCUUGGUGUUCUUUUAUAUUUUUAUUCUUGCAUUUCAUUUGAUAAAUUUCCUGUGGAUUAGCUUGAGUUGGUUCCAUUUGGUUUGGUGCUAUCCUAGCACAACAAGAAGCUACCUAAAAGUGGAAGUUUCAACCUUCAUAUAAGUUUUUCAAGCAACCAAUUCCCAGUGGAAAAGAAUAACGAUUGGAAAGCCUGAUAAUUGUUCCCACUGGAAUUGUCAAGAAACUGAAGAGAACAUCAAUUAUCACAAACGAACAAGUUUUUCAAAAAACACAAUGUAAAAAUAAUAUCAUCCAUAUAAGAACCAGGUCAGUGAGCAAUUGUCACAAAUAUAUUAUCUCAAACCGGCAAACCCUAUUUUUAUUUGAAAAAUCUUGCGAAUAGAUUGGAGAGAGUUAAGUGUUAAAAAGUAAACGGACCUGGUUUCUCUGUCAUUCUAGUUCUCAUACACUCUCAUUCAUUUUCAUUUGUGAGGUCACGGUUAAGCCACGUCAACAUUUUAUAUCACUAUUACCUUUUGUCUUAUUAUCUCUAUAAAGAAAAUUAAUAUAAAAUGUUGACGUGGCUUAACUGUGAUCGCACAAAAUAGGAGGGGAUGAGAAUGUAUAGGAAGUGAGAGGGUAGAGAAGUCGGGUCCAAAGUAAAGUGAUCGCUUUGUUUCACGACAUUUUCUUUCCACUGUUCAGUUUGACAUUAUUGUUUAAUUAAAAAAAGUAAAGUUAGGGAGGCGUCACCAUUUUUGCUUUCCACAAGAAUAGAUGUUACUUGAAAGCUAAGAAUUUUUUUUAUUAUGCCGGAAAUAUGGUUUAGUAUACCAAGUGUCAUAGUUAAAAAAUUUUAUUUAAAACUCCAAUCACUUGUUAUGAUAUUUUGUGUACUAAAUCGUGUUUUCAAUACACUAAAAAAAUCUCUCAUAAAGUGGAAGUAACAAUUUUAUAUCUAAAUUUAAAAGAUUUGGAAUCCAGUUCACUAAUUUCUUCCUAGUUAAGGAAUGAGAUUGAUACCUUUGGGCGUGAUGUUUUAGGUGACAAAGCACUCAUGUUAAUAAAAAGGAUAUAUUACACAAAACUACCUCAAUUAUAAGUCGAACCACAAUCACAUACCUCAUGUUUUAAACAUCACAAUGUUAUACCUCAACUUUUGAAUUCGUUGCAAUGUUAGAUCUCCGUUAAGUUUUCUGUCAAUUUAACUGUUAUACCUCAACUUUUGAAUUCGUUGCAAUGUUAUACCUCAACUUUUGAAUUCGUUGCAAUGUCCGAAUUAAGAGUUUUUUUUAUUUUAAGAAUUUUAACGAAAAACACUGGAGUGUUUAUUUUAACGAAAAAUCACAUUUUUACACUAAAAAGCCAAUCCUGUACUAUUUAUUUUAUCCUUUAUUUUGUCUAUAUCGUUAAAAUUCAAAGUUUUUAAGUUUUUUUCAUUAGAUUUUUUUAAUAUUAUAUUAGAUUUUUUAAUUAAGUUUAAUUGUUAAAUAAUUUUUUAUUAAUUAAUUUUUUAUUCCAAUUGGCAAAGGAGUGGGUUCUGCUCUUGUCACGUCAUCAUUUAAUAGGCAAAUUGACAAAAAAGUUAACGAAACUCUGAUAUUGCAAUGAAUUCAUAAGUUGAGGUAUUGAAAUGUUUAAAAUAUAAGGUAUGAGAUUGUGAUUCGAUCUAUAGUUGAAAUAGUUUUAGUCUAAAAAUAUUUAUUGACAUUGAAUGACUGGCACUCUUUUUGAAAAGCUAAAGCUAAAACGGUGGCCAAAAUGGUGACCCGAACUAGGCACAAAAGGUUUGAUCUUUAAUUUCUUGUUUUUUUCACUUUCUUAUUUGCCCUUGUACUGUUGAUCUGUUUGUACUGAUUCAGUCCGAGUAUUCCGCUUGAUAUGCUAAUAUAUAUUCAUCUAAUUUAGUCUGAAAAACUUACACGUAACGUUAUAUCAUUAUAUCAUCGACACAGAAUAUCAUAAUAACAGUAUCCAUGCUAUUAAAUUUAAGGGUUAAGAUCUGAGAGUUGAGGGAAGGGAAAUAAGCACAAUAGGUGGGGUGUUUGUGUGUGUGGUGGCGGUGGUAGGACUCCUACCGUAGGAGUCAGAGAAGGAGAUGGGGUGGGUGUAAAAGAAAGUGGUGGAGGAAGAUGGAAAAAAUGAAGUCCUUAAUCUCUAUUUUGUUCAAUGCGAUGCGAGGUAUACGAAUUGUCAGGGAUGAUGAAAUGAGAUCAUAUUUUGUAGAUCACAUUUAAAUUAUUUCUUUAAUAAAAAUAGGAUCCACAAGUACAGACCUGAACAAUAUCACAAAGUUCGCCUAGAUACAACCGAUCUUCAUCACAAUACAAACCAAACCCUACAUAUUCGACAGAAACUAACCGAAACUGGCCUAAAGCCAACCAGGUCCAAACUCCCUUCGCAACUAGAUCUCACAUUUUUCACUUUAUCUCAAACCCAAAUGUUACCAUGUAAAUAAAAAUUAGUCUCAGACAAACAGGAAAUACUGUGGAUUCCUGUGCAGUAACAACAAAAGCAAGCCCUUCUUUGUGUAACCAAUCCCUCCUCAUUGUUCUUGCUUUGGCUCCCUAAGCUCUGAAAUGAAGGUAUUGGUAAGAGCAGAAUCACCGAUAAAUGAGGCCGCCAAAAGAAGCAACGCCUGCAAAAAGAGUAACAAACUCUAACGUUAAAAGAAUUUAAACAGAUGACUAAUCUUACAUGUCCACAAAAUGGGAUGUCUUCAAAUUCAAGGCUUCAACUUUGUAGGUCAACGUAUGGAUUGACUCAAUUAAGUAUUUGAUUACUUGUUUGGGAUUGCGGUAUUAGAGAUGUUGGAUAAGAGGACGAAUCAGUCGAGGUGAUUUGUGUUGCCGAUGAUUCAUAAGGAAAUCCCGAGGGACAUGAAAUCUGGUAACAGAGAUUCCACAUAAACUAAUAAAGCAACACAUAAGUGGCUGAACAUCAACUGCCUGCGCUAGCUAGUUUGCCCGUCUGGAGUCAAAUCUACGAUUUUUCAAUAGGGAUCAUUUCACCAACCUGAUAUUCUGUUGACAUUUUCUAAAUUGAAUGUAAGCUCUCGAUUUUAUGAUAAACCAAUGGCCUAAAUUGUUAAAAGAACUUGCAAAUCUGAAACCAACGGAUUCUUUCAGUAAGGUUAAUCAAACAUUAUAAAUGACAACUCACUCACCUCCCUCUUGCCCACAUGCACGGUAUGAUCCUCGAUGUCAGUGAAAGGUAAUUCUUGAAGAACAGAGAUUUUAAGGAUUGGAGAUAUCACUCGUACAACUAGAAUGCCAGUCACUCUGAAGAUAGCAGGUCCUCUAAGAAAUCCUUCCACAGGAUCUGAAUGUUUACGAGCAAGCUCGAUAACUGUUCCCAUGGGGAUUGUCAAGUAACUGAAGAUAGUAUCAACCAAAUCAUUACCAGACUCCACGAAAAUAAUCUUGUUGCUUCCCUUGUCCACCAAGGCCUUCACGCAAAUAGUAGGAUUAGAAGCCAUUGAUUCUAAGGAUAAGACCUACAACGAACGUUGGCUAAACGAAAAUGGAGUCUAUUAUAAAGCAAUAGGUUUCUUUGGCAGGUGAAAAGCAUAAAGGUGAAUUCAAUAAGUUCUCUUGAUUUAUUGUAGAUCAUUUGAAUCAUGUUGGAAGACGAAGCAUCAGGUGAACCAAAUAAAUACAUUUACCAUUGUAAAUGUGGAAUUUUGAAAAGGAAGUCGUUUAGGUCGAAAUUGCAAACCUCAACGAUGACUUGAAGACUUUUCAAAGCUUCUUUAGCACACUGAGAACACGUCUUGAUACACAAGUGUCAACGUUUCGAUACACUAAUUAUCUCUCUAAUAAAAGUAGGAUCUACAAUACAAGGCCUCGUUUGGCACGCCGUAUAAAGCAUCGGAUAGGAUAAAUAAUACGGGAGCAGUUGUUUGGUGCACUAUCGUACUAAAUAAGCACCCGCUUAAUUAUCCGGUCUAUCAAAUUUUAUACGGUUGACACCGUACUAUUAAAACACCACAAAAGCUCGGGAUAAUUAGUCGGGGUGAUAUCCCUUCCAUCUUCACGACCACCACACCAAACCGACUGCGUCCGUGCUGUAGAUGUCCUGCUCCUGAACUUCUUCAAGCAUCGGAUCCACAUGCUGGUAGUCUAGAUCCAGAUAUGGAUCCAUUUCUACGACCUGAGUUCAGAUCCGGAUUCUCCAUAGCCUUUAGGUUCGAGAGCAGCCUCACCAUCCUCCCUGCUCACCUCGGUCUCUCGAUCCUGGAGCUUGCUCGCAGACCUCGCAGGGGCUAGACGCAGGGUGAUGAGAGUCGCAGUUGACGCAGAGGAAUACGGAGUCGAAGCGACAAAAUAGAGUUGUCGUCGCCGGGGAAGAAGAAUAAGGGAGAGAGAGGGAGGGAGUUUGGGGGUGCCGCGGAGAGAAGCGGGGAAGAAUUAUUUGGGAUGCUUUUGCAGUCGGGGAAGAAGAAGGAAGAGAGAGGGAGGGAGUUUGAUGGGUGCGGAAAGAUCUGCGAAAAAAAAAAAGAUGAUUUCACUUUUUUUUUAAGUUUUAUUCCUCUUAUCCGCUAUAAUACCAAUUUUAAGUUUUAUUCAUCUUAUCCGGUAUAAUACCAAACACAGUAUAAAUAAUACGGUCAUUAAUCCGAUACUGCACCAAACGCUCGACUAAUUUAGUCAAUACUAUCCGGUGGCUAUUUAUCCUAUUCGACAAAAAUAGUCAGUACAGUACGAGCUGCCAAACGAGGCCAGUACAGAGUUGAACAAUAUCACAAGGUUUGCCUAGAUACAACCGAUCUUUAUCAUAAUAGUUCGGCAGCCUUUUACCAAACCAAACCAUACAAAUUCGACAGAAACAAACCGAAACUGGCUAAAGCCAACCAGGUCCAAACACCCUUCGCAACCAGAUCUCAAAUUUUUCAUUUUAUCUCAAACCCAAAUGUUACCAUGUAAAUAAAAUUUAAUCUCACAGAUAGGAAUAUUGUGGAGUUCUUAUGCAGUAACAACAAAAGCAAGCUCUUCUUUGUGUGACCAAUCCUUCCUUAUUGUUCUUGCUUUGGCUCCCUAAGCUUUCCAAUGAAGGUAUUGGUAAGAGCAGAAUCACCAAUAAACGAGGCCACCAAAAGAAGCAACGCCUGCAAAAAGUAACAAACUCUGAAGUUAAAAGAAAUUUAAACAGAUAACUAAUGUUACAUGUCCACAAAAUGGGAUUCCUUCAACUUUGAAGGUGGACGUACGGAUUGGCUCAAUUAAGUGUUCGAUUACAUGUUUGGGAUUAUGGUAUCAUUUUCCAACAAUUGACUACCCUUGUUGUUUAGAGCAAUCAAUAACAUAACAUUGUGGACUGAUGCAAAUCAACAACCGUAACAAGGGAACUCCACUGACAGAUUAGAGAUGUUGGAUAAGAUCACUUAUCAGUCAAGGUGAUAUGUGUUGCCGAUGAUUCAUAAGGAAAUCCCAGAGGGACAUGAAAUAUGGUAACAAAAAUUCCACAUAAACUAAUGAAGCAUAACAUUAGUGGAUGAACAUCAAACUUUAUAAAUGACAAUUCACCUCCCUCUUGCCCAUAUGCACGAUAUGGUCCUCGAUGUCGGUGAAAGGUACCUUCAAUUCUUGAAGAACAGACAUUUCAAGGAUUAGAGAUAACGGUCUUACAACUAGAUUGUCAGUCACUGUGAAGGUAUCAGGUCCUUUCAGAAAACCUUGAGCACUUUUAUUGCUAUCUUCAUGAGAUUUGGGAUAAAAAACAUUAAGUUUAACUGACUCCGCUGAAGUAUUAUCAGGAAUACAGGACUUAUCAGUAGUUAACUUCUCGUUGAGAUAAUAAAAUGAGGUUUCCUCGAUUCCUAACAGAGGGUUCUCGUAUCGAAAACCAGGUGCAAGCUUUGGAUUGACCAACAAUUCCUUGUGGAAAUUUGACUUCAAGUAUUGCUCAUCAAGAUCUUCGACACUCUUGUACAACUGAUCGAGACAGCCUUUCCAUGAAACAUUCCGCAUCUUUUCUAAUAUAUACCCAAGUGGGAGAGUCGAGAAACUGCAGAGUAGAUUGACAAAAUCCUCUUGUGCCUCUGCAUAACAAACAAUCUUCUUAGACUUGCUAACUACAAGCUUAAGAGAAAUGUUUUUCUCUUCCUCAUUGAUUGUGUCACCAUGCAUUUGAGAAUCAAUCGAUAUUCCUUGACUGGAAUGUACAUCUCCCAAACUUGGUUUUGGUUCGUUUUUCAGAAGAAUUUCAGUCAAUGGUGUCUUUGAUACAAACGAAUGCAUAAGCAAAUUCAAAGCCUGGAAAAAGAGACAUCAAGCUAGUUAGAAACCACUUCUGUUGUUGAUGGAAAAAAAAAAAAAAAAAUUGAAGGCACACCCCACAAGAGGAAUACCUCCUGAAUUCCCAUAUUGAAAGUCAACUCCUCCGUAGUUUUAGAAUCUGUGACCCCUAGCUUCGAAAACAAACAGAUGCUUGUUGCACUUACUGGGGAAAUGACCUGUAAAUCAUCGGUAAUUAUCAGCCUGGGUCUCUCUUUCACAAAGACGCCUCCAACUUGAGUAUUAUCCACUGGAAUCUUCCAACCAAAAGUAGAAGCACAGGAAGGACAGAUGACACUUUGAUAAAAAAAAAAAAAAAGGUCGUACCCAGUGCACAAGGCUCCCGCUUUACGCAGGGUCUGGGAACAGAUGACACUUUGAUAAUAGCUUAAAAAGCAUCCUUCAUAGCACCAAAAGUACUGUGUUGGCCUAUUAUUGUCAAUUUUCAACUUGAGGUUCUGGCAUUGAAGAUCAGCAGAAUUGCAGGGAAGCAACAACAUAUCUCUACAUUCAACACAAGCUUUUUUUCCGCCAUGAUUGAAAGAAAGUAUAAAGUCGGAUUGCUAUCCCGUUGUUGAACAAAUUCAGUAAGCAAUUGUCACAAAUAUUUGUUUUAGGAUAAUGACCACCGAAAUAAAGCCUGUCUAGUCCGUGCAGAUGUUAAGUCGUUUCCCUCCUUUAACAUGAAAGAAGCUUCAAAAUACAAACCAACUUCAGGGAAAGAGAUAAAAUCUUGCGAAUAGCUUAAGCUAUAGGAAACAGAUUAUCUAAAAUCGGCAAACCCUAUUUUUAUCUGAAAAAUCUUGCGAAUGGUUUGGAGAGAAAGUUAAGUGCUAAAAUGUAAAGUGAUCGCUUUGUUUCACAACAUUUUCUUUCCACCAUUGAGUUUGACAUUAUUGUGUAAUUAAAAAAAAGGAAAGUACAGUUAGGUUGGCCUCACCGUUAUUGCUUUCCACAAGAAUAGAUGUUACUUGAAAGCAGAGAAAUUUUGUAGUGCGCCGGAAAUACAGCUUAGUACACUAAAUGUUAUAAAAAGGUCGUACCCAGUGCACAAGGCUCCCGCUUUACGCAGGGUCUGGGAGAGGUGAAUGUCGGCUAGCCUUACCUCUAUUUAUAAAGAGGCUGCUCCCAAGUCUCAAACCCGAGACCUACGUAGAUGUUAUAGUUAAAAAAAAUUUGUUUAGGGCUCUAACCACUUGUUAUGAUAUUUUGUGUAUUAAAUCGUGUUUUCAAUACACUAAAAAAUCUCUCCCAAAGCAGAAGUAAUACAAUUUUAUAUCUGAAUGUCAAAACGUUGGAAUCCAGCUCACUAAUGUCUUCUUAGUUAAGGAAUGAGAUUGAUACUUUUAGGCGGGAUGUUUUAGGUGACAAAGCACUCGUGUUAAUAAAAAUAUAUAUUGACAUUGAAUCACUGGUGCCCUUUUUGAAAAGCUAAAGCUAAAAUGGUGGCCAAAAUGGUGACCCGUAACAGGCAAAAAAAGGUUUGAUCUUUUAAUUUCAUGUUUUUUUUUCUUAUUUGCCCUUGUACAGCUGAUCUGUUUGUAGUGAUUCAGUCUGAGUACUCUGCUUGAUAUGUUAAUAUAUAUUCAUCUAAUUUAGUCUGAAAAACUUAC